rnacentral:rRNA from 1 species
GAGUGUAAAGGCAUAAGGGAGCUUGACUGUAAGGCCAACGCGCCGAACAGAGACGAAAGUCGGGCUUAGUGAUCCCACGGUUCUGAGUGGAAGGGCCGUGGCUUACCGGAUAAAAGCUACCCCGGGGAUAACAGGCUGGUGAAGUCCAAGAGUCCAUAUCGACGACUUCGCUCGGCACCUCGAUGUCGGCUCAUCGCAUCCUGGGGCUGGACAAGGUCCCAGGGUCGGGCUGUUCGCCCGUUAAAGCGGUACGCGAGCUGGGUUCAGACCGUCGUGAGACAGGUCGGUCUCUAUCCACUGUGGGCGCAAGGGAUUUGAGAGGAGCUGCUCCUAGUACGAGAGGACCGGAGUGGACUGACCUCUGGUGUGCCAGUUGUUCCGCCAGGAGCAUCGCUGGGUAGCUAUGUCGGGCAGAGAUAACCGCUGAAAGCAUCUAAGUGGGAAACUCGCCUCAAGAUGAGAUCCCUGUAUUCCAGUUAAUGGAGUAAGACCGCAGGUAGACCACCUGCUAUAUAGGCAGCAAGUGUAAGCACAGUAAUGUGUUGAGCUAAGCUGUACUAAUGGUCGAGGGCUAAUCCCG